GCGCUGUGGGCUGGGGAGGGAGGAGCUGCCUUGAGGCUUCUGGUCUCCAGCUGCGGGGCACUCACACCUGCCGCUGUGAAAAUGCAGACCCGCGGGGCAGGAAUUCCGAGUCCAGGCUGGAGCGCGAUCUGGAAUCUGACUCGCUUGAAACAGCACCACGGUGGUUUCGGAGCCGGGUGAGUAGGGAAAUGCGCCUCAGCCUCUCCCACGGGCCGCCCACGGAUUCCAGGAUCCGAAAACGCUUCCAGCUGCUCCGCUACCCCAGGAAGGCAGCGCCCGCCUCUGGGCGGUUCUGAUGGAAACGGGCUCCGCCGCCCGAAGGAAAACCCACAACUAAGGGGUCAGGAAAAAGCCUCUCAGGGUCCCGCCCUUUCAGUGAGGAUCCUAAUUUACACCCCGAUGUGGCCCCGUCAAAGACUGGAGCGAAGGUCCCUGAAAUGAUACCAGACCAGCGGAGCCCAGGGCGCUGCCGCUCACAGAAUCCGGUGACAGCGCCGCCUCGCGUCCCUUCCCUGACCUGCCUCAGGCGGACGCGGUGACGUGUGUUGGCCUCGAGGCUGGAAUACAUGGGGAUCAAAAGCAAAGAGUGGAGAAAGGAGAGAAGGAUGCGGGGACAUUUCGAAGAAAGGAAGGGAGAGGGAGAAAAGGGGAGAGAAAAGGUGAAGAGCCUGCGAGGUCAAGCUGCAAAGAGCAUAAGCUUCUACCUCCAGAUGUGCCAGGGUGCAUCUCAUGGCUUGGGUUUUGGCCAGGCACGGUGGCUCAGGCCUGUAAUCUCAGCUCUGGAAGCAGAAGAAUAGCUUGAGCCCAGGGGUUUGAGGCUGCAGUGAGCGAUGAUCUUACCACUACACUCCAGCCUGAGUGACAGAAAGAGACCUUGUCUCAAAAAUAAAUAAAUAAAAUUUAAAAAUAAAAAUAAUAAA